rnacentral:rRNA from 1 species
GGUCUCCUCCCAAAGCGUAACGGAGGAGUACGAAGGUACGCUAGGUACGGUCGGAAAUCGUGCUGAUAGUGCAAUGGCAUAAGCGUGCUUAACUGCGAGACCGACAAGUCGAGCAGGUGCGAAAGCAGGUCAUAGUGAUCCGGUGGUUCUGUAUGGAAGGGCCAUCGCUCAACGGAUAAAAGGUACUCUGGGGAUAACAGGCUGAUACCGCCCAAGAGUUCAUAUCGACGGCGGUGUUUGGCACCUCGAUGUCGGCUCAUCUCAUCCUGGGGCUGUAGCCGGUCCCAAGGGUAUGGCUGUUCGCCAUUUAAAGAGGUACGUGAGCUGGGUUUAAAACGUCGUGAGACAGUUUGGUCCCUAUCUGCCGUGGGCGUUGGAUAUUUGAAGGGGGCUGCUCCUAGUACGAGAGGACCGGAGUGGACGAACCUCUGGUGUACCGGUUGUGACGCCAGUCGCAUCGCCGGGUAGCUAUGUUCGGAAGAGAUAACCGCUGAAAGCAUCUAAGCGGGAAACUCGCCUUAAGAUGAGAUAUCCCUGGAGGCUUGACCUCCUUGAAGGGUCGUUCGAGACCAGGACGUUGAUAGGUCGGGUGUGUAAGCGCAGUAAUGCGUUCAGCUAACCGAUACUAAUUGCCCGUAAGGCUUGAUCCUAUAACA